rnacentral:rRNA from 1 species
AUUGAACGCUGGCGGCAGGCUUAACACAUGCAAGUCGAGCGGUAGCACAGGGGAGCUUGCUCCCUGGGUGACGAGCGGCGGACGGGUGAGUAAUGUCUGGGAAACUGCCUGAUGGAGGGGGAUAACUACUGGAAACGGUAGCUAAUACCGCAUAACGUCGCAAGACCAAAGAGGGGGACCUUCGGGCCUCUUGCCAUCAGAUGUGCCCAGAUGGGAUUAGCUAGUAGGUGGGGUAAUGGCUCACCUAGGCGACGAUCCCUAGCUGGUCUGAGAGGAUGACAGGCCACACUGGAACUGAGACACGGUCCAGACUCCUACGGGAGGCAGCAGUGGGGAAUAUUGCACAAUGGGCGCAAGCCUGAUGCAGCCAUGCCGCGUGUGUGAAGAAGGCCUUCGGGUUGUAAAGCACCUUCAGCGGGGAGGAAGGUGGUGAGCUUAAUACGAACAUCAAUUGACGUUACUCGCAGAAGAAGCACCGGCUAACUACGUG